rnacentral:misc_RNA from 1 species
AAGUCGUAACAAGGUUUCCGUAGGUGAACCUGCGGAAGGAUCAUCAACAAUUACGUGUUCUACACGUAUACCUUUUUACCCCCAUGAACUUUUCUACUAAUUUCCAAAGUACAACUUUGAGAUCUGAAUGUGCUUGUCUUGAGAGAGAGGCUGUCUCUUUUGUCCUCCGGGCAAAAAAAGAUAUCCUUUUCUUUUCAACGCAAUUUGUACGUUCUUUCAAGAAGUUUUACUUUAUUCAAAUUUUAUACAACUCUUAGCAACGGAUAUCUCGGUUCUC